GGCAUUAUACUUGCGAUCGCUUGUCACAUAUGGCGUCUAAUUUCUUCAUGGUAAUGUAAGCUACAAAAGUCAGGUCACCGUCAUGUGCAGCCUACCCUCGUCCUGCAAAUGUCAAUGUUUUGUUUCACCACUUCUUCACCUCCGUCUUUUGUAAAUCUAUUUUAUCAUUUAUUUUUCUUUUAGGAAUUUUGUUUCUUCAUAGGUUUGGGGAUUUGAACUGUGCUGUCAGGGAUGUGGAUUUCAGUAUGUGCGGAAGGAAGCGAUCUCGAAUUCUUAUAUUCCCUUUGCAACGAUGAAGGAAUUUAUGCAAUCAUAAGUGAUUUUGAUUACAGAGCCUCCGAGAUUUUGCAGUCAUCUAUCCUAGGAUUUUGGGUUUUCAUGAGCUGGGUUUUGGGGAGAUUGCGAGGAGAAUUCAAUCCAGAGAUGUUCUAGGGGAAUCCUUCUCUGCCGACCCUUUUUCUUAAUCGCUCAUGAGCUGAAGGUCGAUUCAAAAAUCGCGGUGAAUUUCAUUGCGUUUUAGUUUUCAAUCCUUUUCAAUCUUCGACGGGCUCUGGAUUUGAAGAAGUUGCUUUUCCACUUGUAUAUAUAUCAUAUGUAACAAGAGAAGCUUUUAUUUGAAUUGUUUUCGAAUUCUCUCUCUCUCUCUCUCUCUCUCUUGUUGGGACUCUAAAACUUGGUUUUGAGAGUCUUGCUCGAUUGUACUUGCAUGGAUUGGAUCGACUGAGGAAGAAAAGAAGAGAAAUUGAAGAGGUUAGGCUAAAAGAUGUCGUCAAAGUCGACAAACAAGACGAACUGUUCUAGGAGCAGCUCUUCUCGAUCGAGACAAUGUGCUCGGGUUGUGGCGCAGAUCCCCAUUGACGCUAAGCUUCAUAGCAACUUCGAGGAGUCGGAGCAGUUAUUCGAUUACUCCACUUCUGUGAACUUAAAUGUCUCAGUUAGUUCCGCUAGUGAUGUUCCGUCACCCACUGUAUCAGCUUAUCUGCAAAGCAUGCAGAGAGGAACGUAUAUCCAACCUUUUGGUUGUAUGAUUGUAGUUGAUGAGCAAAAAUUUUCUGUUCUAGCUUUCAGCGAAAAUGCCCAUGAAAUGUUGGAAUUGGCCCCUCAUGCGGUUCCAAGCAUUGAGCAGCAAGAAGCUCUCACUUUUGGAACAGAUAUCCGCACACUCUUUCAGUCCACUGGUGCUGCAGCCUUGCAGAAAGCUGCCAAUUUUGGGGAAGUAAAUUUGCUCAAUCCCAUAUUAGUUCAUUGUAAGAGUUCUGGUAAGCCUUUUUAUGCAAUUUUGCAUCGAAUUGAUGUGGGUUUAGUUAUAGAUUUGGAGCCUGUGAAUCCGGAUGAUGUCCCGGUUACGGCUGCUGGGGCAUUGAAAUCAUACAAGAUUGCAGCCAAAGCAAUCUCAAGAUUGCAGUCUUUGCCGACUGGGAAUAUAUCCCUGUUAUGUGAUGCGUUAGUUAAUGAAGUUAGGGAUUUGACGGGUUAUGAUCGUGUAAUGGUGUAUAAAUUUCACGAAGAUGAGCAUGGGGAAGUUGUUGCUGAGUGCCGUAGGCUAGACUUAGAACCUUACCUUGACUUGCAUUUCCCUGCUACUGAUAUACCGCAAGCUUCAAGAUUUCUCUUCACGAAGAACAGGGUCAGGAUUAUCUGUGAUUGUUUGGCCCCACCAGUUAAAGUAAUUCAAGAUAAGAGAUUGGCUCAGCCAGUGAGUCUUUGUGGAUCCACACUGAGGGCACCUCAUGGGUGUCAUGCACGGUAUAUGACUAACAUGGGUUCCAUUGCAUCGCUUGUGAUGUCCGUGGCUAUCAGUGAGGAUGAUGAUGUGAUGGAGGGUAAUCAGAAAAAGGAAAGGAGGUUGUGGGGUUUGGUGGUUUGCCAUAACACAAGGCCUCGAUUUGUUCCGUUCCCUCUAAGGUAUGCCUGUGAAUUUUUGAUUCAAGUUUUUGGUGUACAAGUUAACAAGGAAAUGGAGUUGGCAGCUCAGUUAAGGGAGAAGCAUAUUUUGCGGACUCAAACUGUGCUUUGCGACAUGCUCCUUAGAGAUGCGCCUCUAGGAAUUGUUACUCAGUCACCAAAUGUGAUGGACCUUGUUAAGUGUGAUGGAGCUGCAUUAUACUACAAUAAGGAAUUUUGGUUGCUUGGUGUCACCCCUACAGAGGCACAAGUGAAAGAUAUAGCUGAAUGGCUGCUUGAGUACCACAGUGGGAGCACAGGCUUGAGCACUGAUAGUCUUAUUGAAGCUGGUUACCCUGGUGCGUCUAUUAUUGGUGAUGCAAUUUGUGGAAUGGCGGCCAUUAGGAUUACUUCAAAGGAUUUUCUUUUUUGGUUCCGAUCCCACACGGCAAAGGAAAUCAAGUGGGGUGGUUCAAAACAUGAUCCUAAUGACAAGGAUGAUGGAAGGAAGAUGCACCCUAGAUCAUCUUUCAAGGCAUUUCUUGAUGUGGUUAAGCGACGCAGCUUACCGUGGGAAGAUGUGGAAAUGGAUGCCAUCCAUUCCCUGCAGCUGAUAAUGAGAGGAUCCUUGCAAGAUGACACUGAUUCCAUAAUGACUGUGAAAGUUCCAGCAGUUGAAACUGGGGUACAAAUUGGGGAUGAAAUGCGUAUUGUUACUAUUACUAAUGAAAUGAUUCGCCUAAUUGAAACUGCUUCUGUCCCAAUCUUGGCUGUUGAUUCCUUUGGUAUUAUUAAUGGGUGGAAUACCAAAGCAGCUGAACUAACAGGAUUGAUUGUGCAACAAGCUGUCGGCAUGCCCUUUGUUGAUCUUGUUGAGAAUGAUUCAAUUGAUGUCUUGAAGAACAUGCUUUCCUUGUCUUUGCAAGGUAUAGAAGAGAGAAAUGUUGAAAUCAAACUCAAAUCAUUUGGUUGUCAGGAGCACAAUGGUCCUGUGGUCUUGGUGGCUAAUUCGUGUUGUAGCCGAGAUAUAAAGGAAAACAUUGUUGGGGUUUGCUUUAUUGGUCAAGAUGUGACAGGGCAGAAGCUGAUUAUGGACAAAUAUACCCGUAUCCAAGGUGAUUAUGUUGGAAUUGUACAGAGUCCAAGUGCACUUAUUCCUCCAAUAUUUAUGACGGAUGAGCAUGGCCAAUGUUUUGAGUGGAAUGACGCUAUGCAAAAGUUGUCUGGUUUGAAGAGGGAAGAAACCAUUGACCGGAUGCUUCUUGGAGAGGUCUUUACAGUCAGCAAUUUUGGUUGUCGGGUCAAAGAUCAAGACACAUUAACAAAGCUUAAGAUAUUUCUGAACAGUGUGAUUGCUGGACAGGAUGUAGAUAAAUUGUUAUUUGGGUUCUUUGAUCAGAUAGGUAAAUAUGUUGAAGCUUUGGUUUCUGCAAACAGAAGAACUGAUGCAGAUGGAAGGAUCAAUGGGGUUUUGUGCUUUUUGCAUGUGGCUAGUCCAGAGCUCCAAUAUGCCAUGCAGGUGCAGAGGAUAUCAGAACAAGCUGCAGCAAAUAGCACAAAGCAGCUGGCAUAUAUUCGUGAGGAAAUCAAAAGGCCUCUAAAUGGGAUAAUGUUUAUUCAGAAUCUAAUGGAGUCUUCUGAUUUGAAUGAAAAACAGAAACUUCUUCUGAAGACUAGCACAUUGUGUCGGGAACAAUUGGGCAAGAUUAUUGAUGACUCUGAUAUUGAAAGUAUUGAGGAGUGCUAUAUGGAGAUGAAUUCUGUUGAAUUUAACCUUGGGGAAGCUCUGGAAGUUGUCAUAAGUCAAGUUAUGAUUUUGAGCCACGAACGUCAGGUGCAAUUCAUUCAUGAGUCACCUUCUGAAGUGUCGUCCAUGUGUUUAUAUGGUGACAACUUAAGGCUUCAGCAAAUUCUCUCAGAUUUCUUGACAAAUGCACUCCUAUUCACCCCAGCAUUUGAAGGAUCAUCAGUUGUACUCAGGGUGAUCCCCAAAAAGGAAAGCAUAGGGAAAAAGAUACAUAUUGCUCAUCUUGAAUUUCAGAUCAUCCACCCAUCACCUGGAAUCCCCGAAGAUUUAAUUCAAGAGAUGUUUCACUAUAAUCGAAGUGCCUCACGGGAAGGCCUGGGUCUGUACAUCAGCCAGAAGCUUGUCAAGAUCAUGAAUGGCACUUUACAGUAUCUUAAAGAGGCAGAGACAUCAUCUUUUGUUAUUCUUGUAGAAUUUCCAUUGGCUACACAGGAUUGAUCACCAGUUGGUAUAUAGAGUAUGAUGAAUAUGCUAACAUGUUCAAACUGCAGAAAACUAGAGUUGAUCCUCCUUCUCGGGACCUGCCAUCUCAGCAAAAUGAGUGCCUAUAUGGAGGCCAGGGAGCAGAACUUUGAACCAAUCCGACAUGGUAAUAUGGUAUACUGAAAAUUGCAAAUCUAGUGUUUGUAGCAGGUUUAUCCAAAGUCUGUAAAAAUGAGAACAUGUUGUCCUGAAGAUGAAAAUUACAAGGAACAUGAGUUGGCAUUCAAGGCUUGACAGAAAAGCAUAGAAAAGCUUAACACUUGUUCAGAUCAUAAUUUCCUUUUCACACAGUAAGAAUUCAUUUUCUCAUAACCUAUGCAUAGAAAAGCAUGGUAGUCCCUUGUCACAUUAAAUAUCCAAUUCAUUGAUCAUAACCUGUAAAUGAUAAAUGAAAAAUUUUAACAGGUAGCUUAACACUUGUCUGGAAACAUUUACUGUAUUUACCGCAUUGACUUAUUUGUAAAAAUUCUCAGUACAUCAUACUUUCGAUGCCAUCAUACUUAUUUGUAAACAUUUACUGUAUUUACCGCAUUAACUAGUGGUUGGCAAGUUUAUUGCUUCAGAUUUGGAAUAGAAACAUCUAUACUCUUUUUAAUAUAUAAUGGUUGAGAUGCCAAACAAUUUUCUUUAAUUUUUGGAUCGAAGUGCAGGCAGUUUUCUGGGUAGAACUUUUUGUUAUGAUCCUUGCAAUCCCUACAACUCUGCUGUGGAAAUAUUCCCAUGUGCUUUAUGUAGGGAACUUAUGCAGAAGAUCUCUUCCCUCUCCCUUUGACUUGUGCACAAGGUUUGCUUGGCUUGCCAAGUAAGAUUGUUCUGCAUGCUCUGACAUCCUGAUUUUCACUGUGCAACUUUGACCUCCUCCAAAUAGUUAUUUCUAAUUGUCUACACUGGCAGUUACCCCUAUGCUUCUUCCCUAUCCUGGCUGUGUAAAUGUAUGAACCUUUCAGGUUUUGCUCAGUUGUGAAAGCAGUGCUGCGAAGACUGCCGUGCUCUUCAGUUCUGCUGCUGUGUGAAGGUCCUGCACUAUUAGUUUUUUCCCAAAAAAAGGCCUUCCUCUGUUCUUGUAUUGGUUCUAUCUCUGUCUUUUUCACCCUCUAUGUUUUGUUUUUUUUUUUCCUGUGCUUGCUUAUGUUGUGUUCUUAAUAAAAAUUCAAUGCUCUUCCUAAUUUUUUUUUCUUUUCUUUUUUAGUUUGAAUCAGUUCAUUUAUUUAUUAGAAGUAUUUGUAAGCUCUGAAAUAGUUUAUAGUUUACUCUUUUCUUUCUGUUUUUUUAUUUAAAAUUUUUAAAAUUUUCAUGAAAAUUUUCUGAAAAAUUGUUGUGAAGCCAGAUGAAAUCAUAGGUAACUGCUAUGCUACAAGAUUUUAUUCACUUCAGCUCUGGUUACGUACUCCCAGUUUCCAAGAUAGCUGAUUUACCAUGUUUCAGGUCAUUGUCAGGGGCAGGAUGCUAAAUUCAAUUAAAAGUUUCAGAUGCUUUCGAGUUAUUGCAGUCAUUCACUAUAUCUUUUCAUCAUGGUUACAACUUUCUGGUUGCAGACUCUCCCAUUUUUUAUGAGGCCUAAAAAAUUGCUUCAAUGGAGAAUGAUGAAUAUUUUCCCUACAUGCGAGGGAGACCAGGGGCUUUGGGCUGGUGUGGAUUCUGACUGCCCCCUUCCAAGCCUAGUGAAUUCCCCUUGUAUACAAUGUUAAGCAGUUAUUGUUUUGGUCUUCUCUUUAAUUUAGCCCCUGUAUAAAAUAAAAUUGUAGCUUGCUCCCCUAAUUCCAUUUUUUAAUUACACUUAUGUGGGAAUUUCGAUGUGCUAUGUACUUUUCCCCUGCAAGGCAUAAAUCCUGCAUCUUCCCCUGCUACUCGUCCUAUUUGCAGUUGUUUUCUUUUAAUAUUUCCACUCUGAUUGUAGGUCUCCUGAAAUCAGGCAGGUUUCAGCUGGAUUUGGAAAAAUGGCUCGGAGCGGAGUAGAUUAUUUUCAUCAUCUGCUGGCGAAAUAUGUACCACUCUUGGGAACGUCAGUUAAUGGGGUAAGGUUUCUCACUGAAGUUUUAUGGUGUGUGCGUGGGUGAGUGGGUGUGGGUGUGUAGAUCAACCAUUAAUCAUGUGAGUUUUGAUGUCAGGAUGUUUAGGACCAGUUUUAUUUUUUUAUUCAUUUUUGCUCAACGCGACCCUCGGAGCAAAAUGCCAAUAUUGUUUGUUCAUGGGAAAAUCUGAUUUUGGUACUGGGUUUUAAUCAGAGGCUUAGAGAGGAUUCCCCCCCCCCCCUCUUUUCGUGUGGCCCGGGGGGUACAAGCGAAGAAAAAAAAGGUUUAUUGGAUUUAUUCAGUGUUUUAUGAAUGCUAUUAGUAUUCCUUUGAUAGCUCAGUCCAACCCAAUUUCGUUUCAAUUAUAUCAUGUCCAAAUGUGGUGUCAUUAAGUUAUUAUGUCUCCCCCUUGUUUGCACAAUGUUGUAGUUAUGUUGUUCCCUCUGCAAAAUGUUAUUUCGGCUAAUUUAUAAUAAAAUAUUGGUUAGUUCUCUUC